rnacentral:rRNA from 1 species
GACAGAGGUGCCGAGCGUUAGGCGGAAUCACUGGGCUUAAAGCGUGUGUAGGCGGGCGGGCAAGUACCUUGUGAAAUCCCACGGCUCAACCGUGGAACGGCUGGGUAUACUGCCUGUCUUGAGCCAACUAGGGGCGAGCGGAACAGACGGUGGAGCGGUGAAAUGCGUAGAUAUCAUUUGGAACGCCAAUGGUGAAAACAGGUAGCUGGGAGUGUGCUGACACUGAGACACGAAAGCCAGGGGAGCAAACGGG